rnacentral:rRNA from 1 species
CAAUAGCGUAUAUUAAAGUUGUUGCGGUUAAAAAGCUCGUAGUUGGAUUUCUGCUGAGGAUGACCGGUCCGCCCUCCGGGUGAGUAUCUGGCUCAGCCUUGGCAUCUUCCUGAAGAACGUAACUGCACUUGACUGUGUGGUGCGGUAUUUAGGACAUUUACUUUGAGGAAAUUAGAGUGUUUCAAGCAAGCGCACGCCUUGAAUACAUUAGCAUGGAAUAAUAAGAUAGGACCUCGGUUCUAUUUUGUUGGUUUCUAGAGCUGAGGUAAUGAUUGAUAGGGAUAGUUGGGGGCAUUCGUAUUUAACUGACAGAGGUGAAAUUCUUGGAUUUGUUAAAGACGGACUACUGCGAAAGCAUUUGCCAAGGAUGUUUUCAUUGA